GUUGACAUCUCUUGAAAUUACCAAAACCACCUAGGCUUGUGUUAAAUCAUUCUUAACCAAACUUUUUUAUUUGCUCUUAUCAGAAAGCAGGUAAAUGGGAAUAUAAUUUUAAGAGACUCACUUUGAGACAUGCUAACAGUAACCAAUGUCUUGAUGAACCUUCUGAAGAAGACAAAAUGGUGCCUACCAUGCAAGACUGCAGUGGCAGCAGAUCUCAACAAUGGCUGCUGAGGAACAUGACCUUGGGGACAUGAAGAUCUUUUUUCCCAAGAUGUGAAAGUCUCUACUCAUUUGUUUGUCCAUUAUUUCAGUUUGGUGAAAAUCUUAACUUUGCUGAAUUAAACGUUUUAAAAAUACUUUUAGUAAUAUAAAACACAGUUGUUUAUAAUUCAUUUUUAGGAAUGUUUAUUUCCCUACUAAAAAUUUGUAUCUGAUUGAAGAAGCACAUAAAAUAUAAAUAAUAAGAAACUGUUAUUAAACAUUUCAAUUGUUUGGGAAAAAAAACACCUUGUAUUUACUUUUAAAAUGUCUUCAUUAGCCUCUUGUCACAAGGUUACUUGGUAUUGAUUUAUUUGGUGUUCUAAUAACAAUUAAAAGAGAGAUCAUGUAAUGCCUUAUACAAUAUAAUAAUUAUGAAAUAUUAAUGUAGCUUUAUAAAACACUCUUUUUACAAAA
rnacentral:lncRNA from 1 species